rnacentral:rRNA from 1 species
CGGGUGCUUGCUUAUCGGGAUUGAAGGGGAGAGAGACAAACAAGCGUGCUGUCGUCCAGAGCUCACUGAUGUGCUUCCUCGUCGGCGACGGCGGCGUCAGCCCUGAACGAACGGCGGCGGAUCUGAGAGGGACCGGCGGCGACGGAGUUUAGAGCGGCAGCAGACCUGAGCCGAUGUGAAGAGGCAGACAGACGGAAGUGGUGGUACCCAUUGUAUGAGUCCCUCGGUAGCAGCGAGGACGACGAAGGAGACCUAACAGGAACAAACGCUACGGGGUGGAUACAUACAAAGGGGUUAGAUUAGAUAAACGAAAGGACAGAAAAGAGGAGACCCAGACAUCAACAUCAUCGUUCUAGUCCCCGACCCGCACCUGUGGAGGCCGGUGCUAUAUUUCAACUACGACCACUCUAGGUUUAAUCUAUUCUAGGUGGUGAGCGGAGUGGUGCUUGUUCCCGUUAAUGAUGUAGAGAUUAUGACCAACCUUUAACACUCAAAAUCUAAAUAAUUUAGACCAACACACAACCAGGGACAACACUAAACUCCUCUUCCAACACCAUGCCCGCAACAUGUCCGUCAUCCGUGUUUGCCCUCUACGACUUACACCGCAAAAUGACUGUGACUAAAAAAAAGAUCUAUUACUGCCCGUGACAUGUCCGUCACCCGUCUUUUACACUAAACUAGACAAUAUCUGACAUGAGGUAUACUUGUACUCAGCAAUCGAUAGACUUUUUGUUUAUUUUUUCACACGUGAGUAAAUAUACAAAUCAAUAUAUUCUAUUUAGCUCUAGGGAGACGGGGUGAGAAGCAGUCCCGAAACAAAGGGGAAAGGCAUAAUGUAAAAUCUACACUGAAAACAGCACAACGAGGGGAAGAAUAUGACAAUAAAUAACAUGAAAAACACGCUAAAAGAUAUAGUAAUGAUUGUAACUAUCUGUGCUACCUUGCUGGUACUAGUGGGAUGGAACAACGAAGUAGAACGUCAUAUUUCUUAAAGAUCCGUAGUAAAAAAAGAAGAAUGUAAUCAUAAAACUUAUUUGUGGGGGAACUAAGUAUUCUAUAAAUCUACUUACCUACAAUAUCAUCAUACCAGGAAAGUAAAGAUCUCAAUAACAAAACAAUGUAAUAAAAAUCUUAUUUAUCGAGAAUGUAAAAUAACCCAAAGGAUGGUUUACCUAGGAGGAUUUCAUAUACGAACACAAUAAGCCUUGGAGAUGUCACCCAACAGUUCUCGUAUCCCGUAACAACGUAGAAUAGACACACAGAUGUUUAAAUAGGGUUAUAAUGGGAAGAUUACGUAGAAAUUAAAUCAAGUCAAAUCAGGAGUGUAUACAAGUAGAAGUACAUUAGUCUAACUACUCUCUGACUACAACGACACUACUAUUCACGGAUACUAAAGACAUGAAACGUGACUUGGCUGACUUCGACUGUAACUAAGAACCGACGUUCUUAACCCUCAUAGAUUUCGUGGUUGCCAACUUCCUCGAGUAGGCGGGUGGCUCUCGUAACGUCGAAAGGUGUACGGUAACUAAUUAGGUAGACGAAAUCAACGUAGUCUAUGAGGUAGGAAAUUAACAAGAAAUUAACGUAACGACUACAGUGAAAGUAUAUACAUUGAUUCACUUUUAUCCCGAAACAUUCCUACAGUGUGAUAAUAAUCAAACUGUAUCACACUGUACAAAGUAACUCUUCGAAACAGUUCUAAUCAUAUCACUAAUGAAAGUA